rnacentral:rRNA from 1 species
CCUACGGGCGGCAGCAGUGGGGAAUAUUGGACAAUGGGCGAAAGCCUGAUCCAGCCAUGCCGCGUGUGUGAAGAAGGCCUUCGGGUUGUAAAGCACUUUCAGUGGGGAAGAAAGCCUUGGGGCUAAUACCCUCGAGGAAGGACAUCACCCACAGAAGAAGCACCGGCUAACUCCGUGCCAGCAGCCGCGGUAAUACGGAGGGUGCGAGCGUUAAUCGGAAUUACUGGGCGUAAAGCGCGCGUAGGCGGUCUGAUAAGCCGGUUGUGAAAGCCCCGGGCUCAACCUGGGAACGACAUCCGGAACUGUCAGGCUAGAGUGCAGGAGAGGAAGGUAGAAUUCCCGGUGUAGCGGUGAAAUGCGUAGAGAUCGGGAGGAAUACCAGUGGCGAAGGCGGCCUUCUGGACUGACACUGACGCUGAGGUGCGAAAGCGUGGGUAGCAAACAGGAUUAGAUACCCCAGUAGUC